UCGGAUAUGGUGUAACGGCUAACAUUGCCGCCUCUCAAUUAAGAACGCGGCAGCUCGGGGUUCGAUUCCCCGUAUCCGAA
rnacentral:tRNA from 1 species